rnacentral:tRNA from 1 species
GCCUUCGUGGUGUAACAGUACAACACUCGGCACGUAAUCGAGAGGUCCAGGUUCGAGUCCCGGUGAAGGCA